rnacentral:tRNA from 1 species
GCACCUGUGGCUCAAGGAAUAGGGCGCUGGCCCCAUAUGCCAGAGGUGGUGGGUUCAUAUCC